UGCACAUCUCUGGUAAAUCCUGCUGAAUGU
rnacentral:piRNA from 1 species